rnacentral:lncRNA from 1 species
AUGAGACCUGAUUGCACAAUGGGUAUUUCCCUUUUUUAUUAUUACUUCCAUACUCCUUAUCAUUUUCAAGAAAGAAAUCCUUGUAUGCUUCUGGUAUAUAGAUUACCCUACCUGUCCUUGUAGUUUUUAUUUCAAUUUCAAUUGGUCUUUUUGAACUUAUGUAGGGGGCAGCUUGAAUUUGUUCAAUUUCAUCUCCUGUAAUUUCAAGAAUGAUAUUUU